GAUGAACGCUAGCGGCAGGCUUAACACAUGCAAGUCGAGGGGCAGCGCGGGGGCAACCCUGGCGGCGAGCGGCGAACGGGUGAGUAAUGCAUCGGAACGUACCCAGUCGUGGGGGAUAACGUGGCGAAAGUCACGCUAAUACCGCAUACGUCCUGAGGGAGAAAGCAGGGGAUCGCAAGACCUUGCGCGAUUGGAGCGGCCGAUGUCUGAUUAGCUAGUUGGUGGGGUAAAGGCCUACCAAGGCGACGAUCAGUAGCUGGUCUGAGAGGACGAUCAGCCACACUGGGACUGAGACACGGCCCAGACUCCUACGGGAGGCAGCAGUGGGGAAUUUUGGACAAUGGGCGCAAGCCUGAACCAGCCAUCCCGCGUGAAGGAAGAAUGCGCUAUGCGUUGUAAACUUCUUUUCCAGGGGAAUAAAAUUUCGUACGAGUACGGGACUGAAGGUACCUUGGGAAUAAGCAUCGGCUAACUCCGUGCCAGCAGCCGCGGU
rnacentral:rRNA from 1 species